UAGUAUACAGUGAAACUGCGAAUGGCUCAUUUAAAACAGUUAUUAGUUUAUUUGAUAAUUGAAUUCUACAUGGAUAACCGUAGUAAUUCUAGAGCUAAUACAUGCUGUAAAACCUGACUUUUUCGGAAAGGUUGUAUUUAUUAGAUAUCAAACCAUAAUCUUUCGGGAUUAUUGUGAUGAAUCAUAAUAACUUUGCAAAUCGAAACUACGUUUCGAUACAUCAUUCAAGUUUCUGACCUAUCAUGCUCUCGAUGGUAGUGUAUUGGACUACCAUGGCAGUCACGGGUAACGGAGAAUUAGGGUUCGAUUCCGGAGAAGGAGCCUGAGAAACGGCUACUACAUCUAAGGAAGGCAGCAGGCGCGUAAAUUACCCAAUCCUAAAUCAGGGAGGUAGUGACAAGAUAUAACAACGCGAUUAAAUGUCGCGAUUGUAGUGAGGGUAUUCUAAAAUAGCUUCGAGUACGAUUGGAGGGCAAGUCUGGUGCCAGCAGCCGCGGUAAUUCCAGCUCCAAUAGCGUAC
rnacentral:rRNA from 1 species